GAUGAACGCUAGCGACAGGCCUAACACAUGCAAGUCGAGGGGCAUCAUGAUCCGUAGCAAUACGGGUUGAUGGCGACCGGCGCACGGGUGAGUAACGCGUAUGUAAUCUGCCGUCUACUCUUGGACAGCCUUCUGAAAGGAAGAUUAAUACAAGAUGGCAUCAUGAGUCCACAUGUUCACAUGAUUAAAGGUAUUCCGGUAGACGAUGGGGAUGCGUUCCAUUAGAUAGUAGGCGGGGUAACGGCCCACCUAGUCUUCGAUGGAUAGGGGUUCUGAGAGGAAGGUCCCCCACAUUGGAACUGAGACACGGUCCAA
rnacentral:rRNA from 1 species